CUGCCAUCCGAACUUGAGCUUGUUGUCGGACUUUUGAGAGUAAGUCUAGGUCAGCUCUUCGAUAUUCAAAAUUAGUUGGCUCAUUAUAUUGUUCGAGUCUCACUAAUGGCAAUCCGAUCUCAAGUGAAAUUAUCACUUCUAUUUCAUAGGCUAAGUUGAAUGGUGAUUCUCCUGUCGGUAUACGAGAAGUUAUUCGAUAUGUCCACA
rnacentral:lncRNA from 1 species